rnacentral:rRNA from 1 species
AUUGAACGCUGGCGGCAGGCCUAACACAUGCAAGUCGAGCGAGCGGCGGACGGGUGAGUAAUGUAUGGGGAUCUGCCUGGUGGAGGGGGAUAACUACUGGACACGGUAGCUAAUACCGCAUCCCAUCAGAUGAACCCAUAUGGGAUUAGCUGGUAGGUAGGGUAACGGCUUACCUAGGCGACGAUCCCUAGCUGGUCUGAGAGGAUGAUCAGCCACACUGGGACUGAGACACGGUCCAGACUCCUACGGGAGGCAGCAGUGGGGAAUAUUGCACAAUGGGCGCAAGCCUGAUGCAGCCAUGCCGCGUGUAUGAAGAAGGCCUUCGGGUUGUAAAGUACUUUCAGUCGGGAGGCGUUACCGACAGAAGAAGCACCGGCUAACUCCGUGCCAGCAGCCGCGGUAAUAC